UAUCUCUGUAGAGUCUGCAUAUCAAUAAGCGGAGGAAAAGAAACUAACUAGGAUUCCCUUAGUAACGGCGAGUGAAGCGGGAAGAGCUCAAAUUUGAAAUCUUCAAGGUUUUACCUUGACGAAUUGUAGUUUAAAGAAGUGUUUUCUGUUGGAUGUUUUGGUAAAAGUUCUUUGGAAUAGGACAUCAUAGAGGGUGAGAAUCCCGUAUUUGACCAUUACUUCCAGCUUUGUGAUACACUUUCAAAGAGUCGGAUUGUUUGGGAAUGCAGUCCAAAAUGGGUGGUAAAUUUCAUCUAAAGCUAAAUACUGGCGAGAGACCGAUAGCGAACAAGUACCGUGAGGGAAAGAUGAAAAGAACUUUGAAAAGAGAGUUAAACAGUACGUGAAAUUGUCAAAAGGGAAGCGUUUGACACCAGUGUUGUUUUCUCGAAAAUCAAUUAAAAAUGGCGGGAUUUUGUGUUGUAUUGACUUUAUCAGCUUUCUGCACUCUUUUCCUGUCUUUUUUAAUGCACUUUUCGUUUAACAAGUCAACAUCAAUUUCUUUUGUUGUAAAAGAGUCAUUGGAAGGUGGCUUUCUUCUCGGAGAAAGUGUUUAUAGCCUUUGGCUUCUGCAAUCGGAGAGAUUGAGGUCUGCAGCGUAGACUCCUCGGGGUUAGAUACGUCGGUGCUAAGCUAUAGCUUUUCAUAGACAACUUGUUGACUAUGUUUAGUCAUGUGGCUUACCCGCUGGCGCUAUUUUACCUACGCUUAGGAUGUUGAGUCAUCACACAUCUCU
rnacentral:rRNA from 1 species